GGGGUCUUAGCUCAGCUGGGAGAGCAUCUGCCUUACAAGCAGGGGGUCACAGGUUCGAGCCCUGUAGGCCCCA
rfam:Lachnospiraceae bacterium JC7 contig00057, whole genome shotgun sequence.